UUGUGGUGAGAGUCCCAUGAAUCCAAUUGAAGAUUUUGAUUGCUUCAUAUCAAUGUCCAAAAUCUUCCCUGCAGCUCCAGAACUUCCAAACCAUGAUACUACCAGGUGUUAACUGAGGUAUAAACAUGCCAUAUUUUCUUUCUUUCUUUUUUUUUUGAUUUUUUUAUCAGAUAUUUUCUUUAUAUACAUUUUAAAUGCUAUCCCGAAAGUUUCCUAUACCCUCCCUCUGCCCUGCUCCCCUACCCACUGACUCCUGCUUCUUGGCCCUGGCAUUCCUGUCUAGUGGGGCAUAUACAGUUUGCAAUACCAAGGGGCCUCUUCCCAGUGAUGGCCAACUAGGUCAUAUACUUAUACAGCUAGGGAUAUGAGCUCUGGGGAUACUGGUUAUUUCAUAUUGUUGUUCGACCUAUAGGGCUGCAGACCCCUUCAGCUCCUUGGGUGUUUAGCUUCUCCAUUGGGAGCCCUGUGUUCCAUCUUAUAGAUGAUUGUGAUCAUCCACUUCUGUAUUUGCUAGGCACUGGCAUAGCCUCAUAUGAGACAGCUAUAACAGGAUUCCUUCAGCAAAAUCUUUCUAGCAUAUGCAAUAGUGUCCGGGUUUGGUAGCUGAUUAUGGGAUGGAUCCCUGGGUGGGGUAGUCUCUGCAUAGUCCAUCCUUUGGUCUUAGCUCUAAACUUUGUCUCUGUAACUCCUUUCAUAGGUAUUUUGUUCCCUGUUCUAAGGAGGAAUGAAGUAUCCACGCAUUGGUCUUCCCUCUUGAUUUUCUUGUGUUCCACAAAUUGUAUCUUGGGUGUUUUGUGUUUCUGGGCUAAUGUCCACUUACCAGUGAGUGCAUAUCUAAUAAGUUAUUUUGUAAUUGGGUUACCUCACUAAGGAUGAUAUCCUCCAGAUACAUCCAUUUGUCCAAGAAUUUCAUAAAUCCAUUGUUUUUAAUAGCUGAGUACUCCAUUGUGUAAAUGUACCACAUUUUCUGUAUCCAUUCUUCUGUUGAGGGACAUCUCGGUCCUUCCCUGCUUCUCAUGCUUUAUUUUCUAGUCUCCAUGUUUUAGUCCAUGUCAACCUAGGUUGCUUCAUUAUCAGACUCCUCUAUCUCAUUAAAGAGUGGAAUUGUGCAAUUGGAAAAAGUUAGCCUCAGGUGGCAAUGAGAUCCUUAAUUGCAUAACAACAAAAGUUUUCAGCCAUAAAACUAUAUACACACACCCAACAGAAAUGGACUGAUCAGGUUUUAUUUUUAUAGCUGUGCAUCCCUAUCCAUAGAUACUUAACAAGGAAGAAUUUGGAAGAGAUGGAGAAAGGACAAGGAAGGUAGAAAGUGAUGAAACAUUUUUAUUAAAAUGUAAUAAAGUUAAAACAAAGAAAAAAGCUGCCAGGAAAAAUAGGAUAGUAGGUAAGAACCCUGGUUAUUGUUAUAGAAGACACAGUUUCUAUUCACAGAAAUGAGAAAGCUAGAGAAAGUAUCCAAGGAGCUAAAGAGAUCUGCAACCCUAUCGGUGGAACAACAUUAUGAACUAACCUGUACCCCAGAGCUCUUGACUCNNNNNNNNNNNNNNNNNNNNNNNNNNNNNNNNNNNNNNNNNNNNNNNNNNNNNNNNNNNNNNNNNNNNNAUGGGGAUGGGUGGGUAGGGGAGUGGGGGGGGGGACUUUUGGGAUAGCAUUGGAAAUGUAAUUGAAGAAAAUACGUAAUAAAAAAAAAAGAAAUCCUUGUGGUGGAAAAAAACAAACAAACAAACAAAAAAAAACAAAAAACAAAAAAAAGAAAAAUGACGUGGUAGCUUAUCAUCUCAUGUAACAGCAUUCCCAAGGCAUCUCAUGGACUUUGUAGAUAUUGUGCUCAGACACAUGCAUGAAAACACCCAUAUACAUAAGAUAAACACUUAAAACAAUACAAUGAUGUCCUAGCCCUAAGUCAUGUCAUACACACAUACACACACACACACACACACACAGGAUUUGCAUGAGGAAUCUUGCGCGCUCUCGACUGGCCAGGAAGAACGACGCUGCAACAGGAUCCUUCUGCACACGCUUAUUGGGAGAGCUUGAUUGUAGAGGCAAAAAGACCUCGAGCCCAGAACUGGUGCUGCUUUUAUAGGCCUAGGAGGGGCGUGUCUCACACCCGGAUNNNNNNNNNNNNNNNNNNNNNNNNNNNNNNNNNNNNNNNNNNNNNNNNNNNNNNNNNNNNNNNNNNNNNNNNNNNGUCUUUGCAAAAAACUUUACUGCAUAUGUACACAUUGGUUGUUUGUCCAAACUUAUGCAUGGUGGCCAGCAGUAGUCAGCGCCACUCUGCAACGGCACAUGUGGCUUCCCACAGAGGAACAUGGGAUUUGCUUCAAACAGAAUAGAAGAACAGUCUGUCGAGUCCAGUGCUCAGAGUCAUCAGAGUAGACAAUCAACUUUGUGAGUCACCAUUAUGAACAAGGGCCUGAAAGAGCCAGGCUUUUUUUUUUAAUUUACCCAGCCUUUAUUAAUACCAUGCAUGUGAAUGAAGGGUGAUCAGCUUGGUGGGUAUACUACUUGUGGAGGUUUGCUUCAUCCAAUGAAUAUUGAAUUUCCAAGUAGGGGGCAUUCUUUGUAAAUAUGUCUGAUGCAUUUGCCCAGUGAGGUCAACUCAGAAUUGAGAAGAAGGCCAUUGGCUGUGGCUGUGGGGCCAGAGGGAGCAGGGCCAGAGAGAGAAGAAAAAGUGUCUGAAAGCAGCUACAGUGUACUUACAUAUAAUAAAUAAAUUUUAAAAAAGUUUAAAAAAGGAAUUUUCUUUGGAUCAUCUUGAAUCUAUGCUGCAAAUUGAUGAUCUCCAACAUUGCUCUCGUUCUUUUUUUCCUGGAAGUACAUCAUUUUCAUGAUGCUUUUUACUGUAGUAUAAAAUGGUCAAAGAUAUUCUAUAUACUCAUUCAUUUAGUAAACAAUACAAAGUAGGUGAAUCUCACGCUGAUAUACAAUGAACAAUGCCAUAGAAAGAGGGCUUCAACAUAUAGUUAAGAUGUACAGAACAAAUUGUUAUGGUCACUUAAAAGCUAUCCCACUGUGUGCAAUUUUAUUGAGAAAAGAAUAACAACAACAAAAAGACAGGUGAAACCUGCUCCAGAAUUGAACAGUGAAUCUGAAUAUGACAUGGUAGUUGUGUUUGCAUACAAAAUAACCUCUGGUAGCAGUUGGGUGGGAUUUCAGCAGAUAUCAACUAAAACAAGUUAGAGCCAUGUGACAUUGUUAUAGUUUAUGUAAACUUGAACAUAUUUAGUGUAUGUACUCUGAUAUAUUUGGACAUGUUAUGCACACCCAUGUACCCAUAUUACCACAAACAGCACAGUUACCCAUGUUCUCAGUACCGUCUUAUUCUAUCCAUGUUUUUAUGUGUCUACAAUAAUCACAUUUUUCAUAAAAUGACAAAAUUUCUAUGU
ensembl:processed_transcript